rnacentral:rRNA from 1 species
GACAGAUAGAGAUGCGUUAACUUAUCGAUAAGAGAUAUAGUGUGGUUAAACUUGUUAAACUAGAAUAAAUAAUAGAAAGAGGUAUAAAUAAAAAUAAGCCAGUUAAGAAUUGAAAUCCUUAGAUACUGGUUGGAAUAUCAAUAGGCUAUAACAUGGCUCUAACUAAAUAAAUUCAUAAUUCACGUUGAUCCACUAAAGUGUAGGUAGCAAUCAG